GCCUCCAUAGCUCAGUGGCAGAGCACUGGCCUUGUAAACCAGGGGUCGUGAGAUCGAUCCUCACUUGGGGCA
rnacentral:tRNA from 1 species